rnacentral:lncRNA from 1 species
AACCUACAAAGGAAAAUCCAACAAUGGGAAAUUACGGCCAAUGAAGGCAGCCCAGCGCCUAAGAACAGAACCCUAGGGAAAGGAGACCCAGAGCACUCCCUGCCUCAGGGCCGGGCCGCAGCCUCAGGCGGCUCUGAGAGGCGCGGAAGAGGCCGCCCCGCCCCGCCCGCGGCUCGCACUGCCCUCGAGCGCCCCCGCGCGCAGCCGCCGGGCGCCCGCCCGGAGGAGGGCGGCGGGCAGCGGGCAGGUGUGCGGCGGCGGCUGCGGCGUGAGGCAGCGUUGGCGCCGCGUCUGCCCGCCGCCUGCCCGCCCUGCCAGCCGCUCCCUGCCACCCCCGCGGCGCGCCUCUCGUCCUCCGCCGCGUCCUCCCGGCGGUCGAGAAAGAGAAGCCCCCCGGUACCCGUCGGUGUGUCCGUGCCUGGCGCUCGCCUCCCCUCCGCGGUACGACAGCCCCGCUCAGCCCGGCCACCAUGGCGCGCGGGAGGUAAGCGAGCUCCUUCACCUCUCCUUCGCGGAGCUGCGUGUCCGCCGGCUCUCGUCCUCCCGCAGCCGCGGCACCCGCGCGGGGAGAGGGCGGUGGGCGACUCCGCCGCGGCCGGAGGAAAAGUUGCGCCUCGGAGCGCGCGGUGCCGUGCGGCCGCCGGCGGGGCGGGUGUACUUCCGGGUUCACACCUUUUUUUCCCUUCACCCUCGGGCCGCUGCAGCCCGGAGAGGAGCCGGCACCUGCGCGGCGGCUCCGUCCCGGGCGGGGCGGGGUGUGGCGGCGCCGCCCGCCGCGAAUUGGGAACGGCGAGCGCUGAUGGACGGCGCCUCGCGUGGGGGGCGGCCGGGCCCGGCGGGGCGCUGCGGCUGCACGACGCCAGGGGGCGGCCCUGCCGCGGGAUGCGGGGGGAGGCCGGGAGGGGAGCGGCGUGCGCGCGGUGCGGGGCUGUGAGUGCGGGCGGCGGAGGGGCCGCCAUCUUGAAUGGCUCCCACGGCUCCGCGGGCGGCACGGGGUCGGGGAUGCGGGGGGAGCCGCGGGAAGGGCGGGCUCGGCGGGUAACGGUCCCGCUGUGA